UAGGCUGGAAUGUGCAGGAUCAGAUAUCUGCACUGGAGCACUUACUGCCUUAAUUUGUGUUUCACAGGAUGCCGGACUCUUACGGAUCGUUUCUCUUUUCAGGGAGCAUAUGCCUACAUAUAGCUAUUGCCAUUCCAGCCGUGGCCCUUGUUUAUGUCACUAACAGACCUCAGCACAUUCGACUGUGUUAUUUUUACACAACAACUAAAUCAGUGGAGGACUAUGGAAUAUGCAGUGUACACAUUCUGAAAUCAGCUUGAAUGUUUACAUCAAUAUGAUUUAAAAAAUAGUGAAGAGACUUAGAGUAGUGGUGAGUAGGUGCCACAGAGUUUAGGUGGUGAGGGUUCUGGUGUUAGUUAACCAUUCACAAGCACAGAAGCAUUUAGGCUGGAAAAGACUCUUAAGAUCAUCAAAUCCAACCAUUAACCCAGGACUGCCAAGUCCACCACUAAAUCACGGCCCUAAUAAACGCCCUGUCUGCACAUCUGUUAAAUAUCUCCAGGGCUGGUGACUCAACCACUGAGUUACAGACAAAGAUUGAUUAGGGAAUAUAUCAAUGAAAUUCACUGAAGGUACUGAAAAAGGAAACAAUGUAAAAUAAUUGCAUAAUGGCUUGAUGAAUAAUCUGUAAACACUGAAGAGAGGCACGUAUAUAUCAUCUAAGAAUCUGUAAUUGUCUGGGAUUCAAGAGACCCAUGGUAAAAUCCCUUAUCUAAACAUCUCCAUUCAAUGGAAAAUUGCAUUUAAUUGAAGCAAUACCAGUCAGCCUUGCACAGGACAUGGAAACUUGCUCAUGGGGUAGAGCUUUCUGUGAGGCAGAGAGUAGUUGUGACAUACCAAGCUAGAAAAAAAAAUAAGCAGGUAUUUCUUUCAUUAGAGAAUGCUCACUGUCUUCCCACUAUCAGUGCUUCUUGUAGGUCAUCUGGUGCUCUGUUACCUCCUGCAUUUGUUGUUGCUCCAGUCACUUAAAACCUAGGUGGACAGAACUGAAAAUUGGAUAUGAAGAAGUUGUGACAAGACACAUAAAGCAGCUCUCAUGAUAAGGGAAUAAACUGGAAAUGGUGGAGGUAGCAAAUGGAAUCAACUUUCAAGGUGCAAAGAGAAAGAUUAUGGGGAAUUUACUUUAAAAGGGCUGGGAGAAGCAGAGGAUUUAAAAGAUUAAAGAGAAAGACAUGAUUAAAAUGAGGCUUAAGAAGGGUAAGGAAAAUAUUAAUCUACAGCAGUUUUAAUCUGGAUACAGUCAUGAAGCGUUUUCCUGUCAACCUCCUAACUGGGAACAACAUAGACUAGGGACUAAACUGAGGAACUCUUGAUUUGUGUAACUGCAGACCUUCAUAGACUAUAAUUUCUUUGUGAAGGAAAAUAUAAGAAAGGGAUGAAAAAAAUAAGAGGUGUGGGACAAUUCAUAAAUCUUUCAAGCAAUUGCUCUCCAGACCCAGUGGAUGGAUCUGUGUCCAUACCAGUGUGCGUAUUUUGUAUGUGGGACUGUGGUCACAUUCACCCUCUCCAUUUUCUGAGGCUUUUGAGCUAGCAUCUGGUGAGGUUUAUGGUGGUUGUCCACUAGGCUUGAGGUGAAUUUGGGGUUUUUUUUCUUUAAAGUCUGUAGACUGCUUCCUGAAACAGACCUGAAAAAUGUAAACCAGUAUAUAUCCAUACUAACUGACCACCAGGGAAGAAGGCUUCUGAGCCUUACUUUCUCAGACUGGUGAUACUGGAGAGCAGAAAAGAUUCAAUUCUUUGACCCUGGCCUAAGUCUUCAGGUUGUUUUUGUGAAUGUUUGUGCAAUCACAAUAGCAGAAGCUUUCCAUGAUGUUGAGGGUAUUUUGUGUGUGUCUGUGUCUGUGUGUCUGUGUGUAUGUGUAAAAUCCAGAAUCUGAAGGAGAGAUUAUUUCAGUUUUGUAACUUGUUUUUGUCUUUGAAGAAUGCUGAUCAUCAAGAAUACAGAGGUACUUUUGUGACUAAAUUUCCCUCUCUCCCAAACAAAGUGAGAAUUCCAAGAAACAAAAAAGUACACUCACAACACUUGGUUAGAAAUAAAAGUUAAAGACUUUUUAUACCUCACCUCUGAGUUGGCCAGCUAAGAGACAUCAAAAUAGGCUUGUUGGGGGUAUUUUUCUAUGUUUUCAAAGUUUGCUGUGUGAUAAUUAAUCUUGUUUCAGAUGUUUUGGCAUGCAAAACCAUUGCUGAAAAUUUAGGAUACUAUAUUCUACUGAAAAGAAGUUUUGGAACAGCUUGCUUUCGGGCUUUUUUUCCUUGUUUUUUCCUCUCCAUGUUCUGCUAGAGAUUUACUUGAUAAAAAUCAGGCAUCAUGUGUUGGCAAAGUAGGCAAGUAGUUUAAAUUGUUCAUUCUUUGUUGUUCUCAGUAGAUUUGUGUCAUGUUAUUUUUGUCCAAACCUUUGCUCAACUCUCGUGUGUUUCAUAGGUCACCAGUUUGUCUUGCUGUUGAUGGCAGUGAGACUGUAUGUACAUGUUGGUGAGUUAGGUACACAACUUACAGCUUAAUAAACAGAAGUACUUUGUGAAAAAGAAAAAAGAAAAAAAAUCCAGACUUGCACAUGCCUACAGUACAGUGCUCUUCUUCAGAAAUCCUGGAAUAGCCAUUUUGUUUAACAAGUAAAUUUUGUGGCAGCAGAACUAAUGAAGCCUGGUUUCCUAUAGCUUUUUGUCUCAUGGGUGAUUGACUUUCACUAUCUAAGAGGAUGUGAGCCCCAGGCAAAGCUUUUCCCAUCAGUGGGGUGUUUAUAUAAGGGAUUUCUCCCAUGAGGCUUCUCUCUAUCUUGAACUCACAACUGCAAGUUUUCUCAGAGCCAGGACUCUGAUAGCAUCUCUACCCGUCUGUCUGUUUUCUGGAAGAAAAAAGGAAGAAUUCAGCUAUCUUUCACAAGUCUACCACAAAAUAUCAUUAAGAAAUGGAUGGAGUGAAUACACAGGUGAACACGAAAUGAUCAUAUAGACUCCAAUUUUGUAGGAAAUUCUAGUGAAAAUAACUUGGACAUGAGAGGAUGCGGUACUGCAGUGACUAUCAGAGAUAUUUUGUGUGCUUGAAAACCCCAGCUCAAAGUUUUUCCCAUAAGAGAAGGCAGAUCUGAUGAUUUAUUUCAAGGUUUUCAAUGUUGUGUGCACAACAACAGAUGUGCAAUGUGCCCCCAAAACAGUGCUUUUGUCUUUUUCCUUUGGUGAGUCCAUAGAACUACCACCAUCAGCAGUUGAUUUACUGUGCUCUUUAAUCCAGAUUUCAUAGUUUUUCACCUCAGAGCAGAAGAUUUUUAUUUCAGCCCUACUACAAAAGCCUGUGCUGGCAAAUGCCAAGUCUAAUAUUUCAGUUUUCACAAUUGCACACCCAUUCAUAAUUGUGUAGGUAAUUAUCCAAUCAAAUACAAAGUAUGCACUAUUAGUUUUUUAAGAACGAUUUUCUUCAGUGCAGUCUAGUGAAACAACUUCUAGCACUUCAUGUAUAUAUUUGGAUGGUAAAGGCAAAGUCAUAAAGAGUCCUAGGGCAGCCAGGAUAUAACAUGCCUAUAUUAAAGCCAGUGAAGUAAAAUUCUAGUGUGUAUCCUUUGAUGCUCUGCCUCAGUGAUGCAAUACAAAUGUACAUUUUAAUGGUGCUUUUAUAGUACUUGAACUCUUGGCUGUAUAGAAAUGCAAUUUUUCAAUCUUGAUGUUUUUGGAACUUGUUGAGAGUCUAAUAUGCAUGGUUUUUAUAGAUCCCAGAGAGACCUCCCACAAACUUUUCUUUUACCCACUCACAGAAAAUCCUCCCUUGUUUGGGUGCUAAGGAACCCUUGUGAAUUAGUCACAGGCAGUGAGGUAAGAAGUGGUGUUUGAGCUAGCUGUCUAUAUUUUAAUUAAAUGAGAACUCCGGGUUCUCACUAGACAGAUUCUUGGGUUUAGACUUCUUCUCCUUAGAGUCUGAACUGCUGGAAAUUUCCUGGCAUCUUUUAAAUGACUUGUAUUUUUGUGAGAGCAUCCCAUGCAAUUUUUAAGAACUGCUGGGGAAAUAAACUGCUUACAGUAUCUAGAACUUUUUGAUCAUCCAUUUCCAGAGACUUGGGGAGGUAUUGGUAGCAUCAGUUCCCAUGUGGGGAACUUGAGGCACAGAAGAUUGAAGUGCCUUGCCCCAGACCAUCCAGAAAGGAAGAAACAGAACUAGAGUUAGGGGCUCGUGCUUCUACCUUGUGCCACAUCCAUUCAGACACAUGCUUCAGCCAUCAGGAGAGGAAACAUGUCGUGUGCUAGCAGUGAAUAGCAGAGAUUUUGACCUUCAGAAAUGGCAACCACUUCAGACAGAUCUAUGAACCUUCCUAAAACAGAGUGUCUGAAGAGUAGAAAGAGAUGGAGAUGGGUACCUUCUGAAAUGCAGACAGCUUGCACCAGUGGGCUGGCAAGGAGAAGUUUAUGUGUCUGCCUCUAUUCGGAGGAGGCAUGCAUUCAUGGCUGAGUCCAUCUUCAUGUGAUUUUUUUUUCUCUCGCUCAAUGAAAAAAUACUUUUGAGGGUACAGAAUGUGGUUGUACUGUUUUCUUCAGUGUUCAGCUGUGACGGUGGCUUUCAUGAGAGAAUGAAUAGACUGAAUUACCCUUCCUUUCCUUCUGUGCAGACACCUCAUAUUCCUUUAGAUACUGUCUGGUCUCAUAUUUUACUAGAUGAGCCAUCUCGUCAUCUUAAUCAUAACCUAAACAAGCUUGCUUUGUCCGUGUGCACCACAGUAGGAGGCUGGGCAGGACAGACCAAAUUUUUAACUUCUGCCUUGGAUUGUGAUGUCUUACCUGUGUAAGCAGAGGUGGAAAAGUAUUUGUGCCAUUCUUCCUACAUCCAAUGCCUCAAAUCACAGCUUUUCAGCAGCCAGAGGAUGAACAUAGCUCAUAGGUUUUUUGCUUCUCUCACAGGUUUCCUCAGACAGAGAGAGAGGCAAAAUAACAGCUUUACAUAGUCUUCUGCAAAAAGGGAGGAAGAGCAAGAAACUAUAGUGGGGCAUGAUGAGAAACUCCAGACAGAGAAACUCAGUGCUAAUAUAUUUUUAAGUGAUUCUUUUUUGCUUAUGGCACCCAUUAUAUAACACAGUCGCAGCAUAGGAACUGAAAUGUGAACUCCAAACAAACAGUAGAGAAGGAGGAGAUCUGUUUACAUCUGUAAACAUAACACUGAAAUCUUCUUGUGGAAUUUUCAUAACAGCAGUGAAGGGUAAAUCUGUAUAAGGAACAUUACCCAACAACAGCUCCUACUUAACAAGUCUCCAAGUCCUAAAGCUGUGUGCUAUUGUUUUGUGCUGAUAAACCAUCCUGUGUAUGUACUCAAUUCUUUUUUUUUCACUAACAACCCAAACUCUGGGCCAGGGGAGAUCAAGAUGAGGUUUUCAUUUUAUUCAGAGCUCUGGAAUCCAGCCCACUGGAACUUGUAUCUUUUGAAGCUCUAAUAAUUAACAUGCCCGCAAUCCUUAAACUGCAGCACUCACCAAAGUGUGCUUCCUGCAGAGCCGAAUGAGGGCAAGAACAUUGUCAGAGCAUCAGGCAGAAAAGCAUGGCAACCCUUCCUGGAAGGAUUCUGGCUGGUGUGGGGCUGACUGAAGAAGAAGAGGAGUCACCUGAGCUGGGAGUGGCCAGAAGGCUCCCUGGCCCCUUUACAAAUACAGGAGGACAGAUCUUUGCCUUCUGCUCUUCUCCGUAUGAAGGACAGGUGAUGAUAAAAGCCACAGAAUCUUGUUAUGCCAUUAUGUCCAGCAUUAAAGCGUCUGUCCUUGUAAUGUGAACACCAGUACCUCUCUGAGGUGAGGAUAUCAGCUCAGCAAAGUGAGAUUAACACCAAAAUGUGUGUCACAAGCUCAGAGUGCAUCAACCUUUUCCAAAAACUGAAGUAUCUCAUGAAGCCCAGAAGUGGGGGAUCUGUUGAGUAACCAGCAGCAGAGGUGAAAGAUCAAGUUUUAGUACCAAUUACUUGGUUUCCCGUGUGCCUCUCCUUAAUAAGUCUAUGAGAGACUGAUUUAAAACAGCCACCACACUGACACAUAAGAGCUACAUCUAAGGAGAGAGAAAAGAGUAGUUCAACUGUUUGUAUCUUCUUUCCAGAGCUGGGAGAGCUGACAGAGGCUGAGUGUGUCUGAUCACUUCUAUUACCAGAAACAUGACCUGUCAUUUUUGCUGGGAUUACAAAGGGGAAGUUUGGAAAAGUUCAGGUGACAAGUAAAAUUUGAGUUAUGCCCAUGCGAGUGCGACUGAAAUCAGAAGGUUUUGCAUCCUACAAGAAAACAGCUCUUGCGACUGAUGGGAGUGGUGCAAGCUUGCAGGAUCACAUGAGUACAAGCCUGCAGUCAGCAUGUGCCAGCAGGUGAUGUAAAGACGAAUGACUCCUUGAAUUUCAAGUGACAAGGAAUGUAAAUCAGUGUGUGGCAUUUGAUCUGGAGAAGAAACUGAGAUGAUUUUAUUUAAAGCAGAAAUAAAAGACACUUUUCCUUUCAAACUGAUUAAUUAAACAAAGAAAAGGCAAAGCUAUGCAUGGACAUCAAGCACAGAAAAAGAAGGUAGCAUUCUCUGUUGCCUUCCUCUCUUCUCCAAAGGUAACUGAUUAGCAGUGCUCCAGCUGCAUGAAAUGGAAGUGUUAAGGUGCAACUCCUGCCAAGACUGUGGCAUGGUUAUGGAAAAGCCGAGUGACCAACCCACCUUCUAUCAUGGCCAUGUUUCACCUUCCAUGCAGGCAGGAAAAGAGACAGACACAUGAGUGGAAAAGUGUUAAGACUGCAAAGCUCAGGCAUCUUUGUAUUCCAGCUCCUCAAAUUUAAAAGGCACCUAAGCAAUGCUUACGUUCUUUGCUGGAUCAAAAGGUUUAUGCAGCCAGAAUAUUGGUGUAACUCCUUUUUGGACUACUACUGAAGGUCAGGAGAAUAUCAUUCAUCUUCCACAGUGCCUGGACAUCAGCAGCUACACUUCUGGAAAUAUCCUGGAAAAUGAAACUUUGAGAACAUUCCAAGCAGUUCAGAGGGAUCAUUAUAUUUGACAAGAUGUGCACAUACCAGCAUAAUACCCAAUAAAAAUCAAAGGCCCCCCUUGGGA